ensembl:lncRNA
CUCCUUUCCGGCACCGCGGGCUAAAGUUACAAACUGCGCUUCUACUUCAGACAUCAUCACAGCCGGUAAGUCACAGGUGCUUUAAUUUGUGCAUGCGCAACAGCGUUCUUUAGCUGUUCUCAGUUCUCAGUACUGUUCUCAGUAAAGUGGUUUAAAAAUAACGCAGGCUGCACUGCACUCUCCGACAGCGGUGUGAAAGCAGCCUGCAGCAGUCGCUGCAAAAACUAUCUGAAGGUUUAUUUGUCAUGCGCUCCCGAUUUUCUCCGUGAAAUAGCUGUUGUUUACACAGGGCUUCAUAACUCAAGACUCCAACUUGGUAAUAGUUCAAUAAAAGCUAAAAUCUGUUAUAUUAGCUACUCAGACUCCAGAAGUAGCUGAAUAAGUAGAUAAAUAUUACACUAAACGUAUUAUUAUUAUUAUUUAAGAGUGCUAUUAUGUGUUUUUGCAAAAUUCAAACGAACAAUAUGCUGAAAUGUCCCCCCUGCAUCAUAUUUUAUUUUGCUCUUUAUGUUUGUUUCAUUCUCCAUAAGAAAUUUAUUCAAGAAAGGACUUUUUUAAAUCUCUUAUCCUCUAAUUUUAAAGAUGGAUAUAUCAGUAAUCACAGAAAUAAAUCACAAGCUGGAAACCUUCAAAGCUGCAAGGAACUUAAGAUCAUUUCCAGAAAGCAUUCAUGAACUAGGAACAAACAUUUAAUCCUAUUAAGUCAAAUUACUGAACAAGGAGUCCAGUCUGUGUACCUUCUAUUGUUUAAGAUCUCUGCUGGUCUUAACGUUCUCCUCCUCGUGCCAGAACCCCUCUGAGCUGACAGGAUGAAUUCACGUGUUCUGAAGAUUAAAGAUGGGAAGUUUGUGAAAGUCCAGAAAUUUUACGAUGGACUCAAGCUGUGUGCUGUUGACUCCCAAACAAAUGAUCAUACGGUCUACAUAGAGAAACACCGCUCAUACAACUGGAUAGCUUUUAAAUUCAAUCUGAAGCGUGACAAUAUGGUGAAAGACUAUUUCCUAAAGGGGGACAAACACUCCCUUGAGCUGGUUCAGCUGGAUCAGCUGGAUAGUGACUCAGUGGAGUACUGGUUUGAGAAGCACAACCAUGGAGGCAGCGAACACUACAGCCUCAAAACUGCGUGUCAACCGCAGAAAUACGUCUGCAUAUCUCAGAAAUAUCUCAGCCUCAGUGACACCAAGCGGGAUUUGGCUGAAGUCAAAGAUGAGGCAAAGUAGAUGUAUGCAUUCACCAACAGCCUUUUGCACACAUUUACUACAAUCCGCUCUGUCUACAAACUGAAGAGGAAGACAGUUUAUCUUUAGCUAAAUCCAAGCAGAACUCUCUCUUCCUGCUGUGAUUUGAUAAAGUAGCUGGACUAAGUAGAGCUACAAACUGGAGAUUAGUCUGGCUGGCUAAUUUUGUGUUCUUGGUAUAGGGAGAAAAAUGCUUUGGUAGUUGGGUUGGGUGGUAAAAGCAUAAAAUAAAACUUUGCUCUUUUUUUCAUAUUGUAAACUACAGGUGGUGCAAAGGGGUGAGACUACUGGCCAAUCUCAAAGAAACUGUACAAACAUUGUCCAUAUGUUUUUAAAAAGAAUUUAUUACAAAUCCCAAUUCUUUAGAUUUUCGUAUUCAUCGUUCCCCUGUGAUUGCAAUAUACACUCUCUGUUUGUUUCGCAUGCCACGCUCAGCGACAAAGGUUUGUUCUCGGCACCACAACAAACAUAGUGAAGAAUUCGGAAAAAGCACUACACACCACGUUUUUGUACGAUAUGAGUUGUUAGCCCCUAAUAUGAUCAGACACUGUGGCGCCCGAAGUUGGUGUGAAAUUUGUUUUUGUUAUAAGGAAAGUUCCCAGCGACACACCUAAAAUAAAUUUCCUGGUCUCACACUCUGAAAUGUUUGGCUUGAAUAACAAAGGAAACAACUGCAGCAGAAUUUAUCAUGAUAAGAAAGGAAGGGCGGCAAAAGCAUGCAGAGUGGCUGCAGUACACGAGGUUUUUUAGAGGUUUGACGAACCUGGCAAAAAGUUCUUAGUUAUUACUGCCGUCAGUAAUAUGUGGCACACCAAGGAAUGUGGUCUACUAGUGGUUUGUGUUGUUGUUGGGUCUUUUUCCUUCGCUCCUGCAUUUUGUCUUGAGAAGGCUAUAAUCAUAAAAGAUAAACAACUUCUGUUUUAUAAGGUGGAAAAUAAAGUGUAAAAACACCUCUGCUGCCAUGUGUUUGCUUCUCAUUUGUGUUAUUUUAGAACUUUAUGAUCUUACCAGCUUUAAGCAGUUCUUGCCAAAGUGAGUAAAGUGCUCAUUCAUCUUUUUUUAAUGUUUAUUUAUAAGAUUUUAAGUUCGAAGUUACAUAAAAUCACACCAGACAAAGGACACAAGAUUCAAAAACAAUAACAUUCAAGCACAGAAAAAAACAAACAGGAAAACAGGAAAGAAAAGAAAAAAUACACCGAUUAGCCAGUACAAAUCAAAAGUUCAAAGAAAUACCAGUGUCCAAAGAAGAUGAUCUUCUGUGUGAGGUCUGUAUUUGUAUAGCGCUUUACUAGUCCCUAAGGACCCCAAAGCGCUUUACACAUCCAGUCAUCCACCCAUUCACACACUGGUGAUGGCAAGCUACAUUGUAGCCACAGCUGCCCUGGGGCGCACUGACAGAGGCGAGGCUGCCGGACACUGGCGCCACCAGGCCCUCUGACCACCACCAG